AUACGAUGAAGAGUUUGAUCCUGGCUCAGGAUGAACGCUAGCGGCAGGCUUAACACAUGCAAG
rnacentral:rRNA from 1 species